rnacentral:rRNA from 1 species
AUUGAACGCUGGCGGCAGGCCUAACACAUGCAAGUCGAGCGGGGUUUUCGGACCUAGCGGCGGACGGGUGAGUAAUGCGUAGGAAGCUGCCCGAUAGAGGGGGAUACCAGUUGGAAACGACUGUUAAUACCGCAUAAUGUCUACGGACCAAAGUGUGGGACCUUCGGGCCACAUGCUAUCGGAUGCGCCUACGUGGGAUUAGCUAGUUGGUGAGGUAAUGGCUCACCAAGGCGACGAUCUCUAGCUGGUUUGAGAGGAUGAUCAGCCACACUGGAACUGAGACACGGUCCAGACGCCUACGGGAGGCAGCAGUGGGGAAUAUUGGACAAUGGGCGCAAGCCUGAUCCAGCCAUGCCGCGUGUGUGAGGAAGGCCUUCGGGUUGUAAAGCACUUUCAGCGAGGAGGAAGGGUGGUGUGUUAAUAGCACAUCAUUUUGACGUUACUCGCAGAAGAAGCACCGGCUAACUCUGUGCCAGCCGCCGCUGUAA